rnacentral:rRNA from 1 species
AGUGAACGCUGGCGGUAGGCCUAACACAUGCAAGUCGAACGGCAGCACAGUAAGAUCUUGCUCUUACGGGUGGCGAGUGGCGGACGGGUGAGGAAUACAUCGUAAUCUACUUUUUCGGGGGGGAUAACGUAGGGAAACUUACGCUAAUACCGCAUACGACCUACGGGUGAAAGCAGGGGAUCUUCGGACCUUGCGCGAUUGAAUGAGCCGAUGUCGGAUUAGCUAGUUGGCGGGGUAAAGGCCCACCAAGGCGACGAUCCGUAGCUGGUCUGAGAGGAUGAUCAGCCACACUGGAACUGAGACACGGUCCAGACUACUACGGGAGGCAGCAGUGGGGAAUAGUGGACAAUGGGGGCAAGUAUGAUCCAGCCAUACCGCGUGGGUGAAGAAGGCCUUCGGGUUGUAAAGCCCUUUUGUUGGGAAAGAAAAGCAGCAGGUUAAUACCCAGCUGUUCCGACGGUACCCAAAGAAUAAGCACCGGCUAACUUCGUG